AAGAUUUAAAAUGUAACUUUAAAUUCCAUUCUCAAGAAGGAACAUGGGGAUCAUUUUAAAAGCAUUAACUUGCUUGUCCUAUGCAGGAAAGGCCCCAGAAGAGCAGAGACUGAAGUCUCUACACAGAUUGAAUUGCAUUUUGUUCACUAUUUCAGGUAAGGUCAUUCUAGAAUGAUUCUAACAGUACAUUUCAGUAAAUUGUAUUAUACUUAGACCACCAGCAGAAAUCUGGAAUAAUUGGGUCGUUGAAGAAUAAACACUAAAGGCAGGACAAGGGGGUCAAUCGUGGAGCAAGAACUUCAUUCAGGAAACUGAGGUA
rnacentral:lncRNA from 1 species